rnacentral:lncRNA from 1 species
CUGCCAGGCAAUGGGAAGCACUCCGUGACUGGAGAGGCUGCCUCUGCUCCUGAAGCGGAGACCUUGCUCCUUCCCAGGCCGCCAGGAGGGCUCAGCCUACAGGGAAGCUUGGGAGCCCUUAAAGGAGGCAUGGGACCAAGACAGGUGGCAGAGAAGAUGGAGGACCAAGCCUGGCAGGGGAAUGAGGUGGCUUGGGAGCAUCACUUCAGGAUCUAGGGAGGCCCUGGUGGGGCCUUCUGCUCACCUCUUUGCCAGAGCUAGAAAGCCCUUCACCUCGGACAGCAUCACCCCACUGAACGUGGCCUCUGCCCCCUUCCUGGGCUUGCCAUCUGAGGAAAAACAGUAUUUCUGCCUGUCGCUUAUUAUCUGGUUGAGCUGGUGGCGGGAGUCCCGGCCCAUGUGUGUUACCAGAGGGAUGGUCUAGAGGAUGAAUCCAUCUGUCAGAGGCAUCCAAGAAGAAAGGCCUGGGCCAGGAUCACAUGGAAGACCCUGAAGACAGGAUCGAGUCUUACCUGCCUGGAUUGAACAGGGAUGCAGUGACCAGUCCCAUCUGCUCCCACCCUGCUGCCCUCUGAAUCGAGAGUUUGAGGCCAUGACCAGGGUAACGUUCAGCUGGUAGAGACAACACAACCCUGCUGGCUGUUUAAGCCAUGCUGGAAUGGUGCUCACAGGGUAACAAUUCUGAGUGAUGAACAGAAGCAGCACUUGAGCCAGACUCUGACCAAGAACUACGGGCAGGCUAGAGCCACACAGAUCCCCGCCUCAGUAGACCGGCUGCAGCAGGAGGCGCUCAGGAGCCCCAGAUGGUGAGUGAACGCCGAGCUGGGCAGCACAGAUGCAGGACGCUGCCUCCAUCGCAGAAAGUUCUCCUGGACGCCACUGUUCCAGAUCCUGAUGGUUCAAGUGCUACGGAUGCAAUAGCUCAGCGACU